GGCCAGCGAGAGAACUGUUGUUAAGGAACUCGGCAAAAUGACCCCGUAACUUAGGGAUAAGGGGUGCCACCAUCAGGUGGCCGCAGAGAAUAGGCCCAAGCGACUGUUUACCAAAAACAUAGGUUUCUGCUAAGUCGCAAGACGAUGUAUAGGAGCUGACGCCUGCCCGGUGCUGGAAGGUUAAGGGGAUCUGUUAGAGCAAUCGAAGCAGUGAACUUAAGCCCCAGUAAACGGCGGCCGUAACUAUAACGGUCCUAAGGUAGCGAAAUUCCUUGUCGGGUAAGUUCCGACCCGCACGAAAGGCGUAACGAUUUGGGCACUGUCUCAACAACAGACUCGGUGAAAUUGUAAUUCCGGUGAAGAUGCCGGAUACCUGCGACAGGACGGAAAGACCCCAUGGAGCUUUACUGUAGCUUGACAUUGGGUCUUGGUACUACAUGUACAGGAUAGGUGGGAGGCUUUGAAACCAGGACGCCAGUUUUGGCGGAGCCAUCCUUGGGAUACCACCCUUGUAGUACUGGGACUCUAACCAUAGGCCAUGAAUCUGGUCUUGGGACACUGUCAGGUGGGCAGUUUGACUGGGGCGGUCGCCUCCCAAAAGGUAACGGAGGCGCUCAAAGGUUCUCUCAGUACGGUCGGAAAUCGUACGUAGAGUGUAAAGGCAAAAGAGAGCUUGAUUGCAAGACAUACAGGUCGAGCAAGGAUGAAAAUCGGACUUAGUGAUCCGGUGGUUCUGCGUGGAAGGGCCAUCGCUCAACGGAUAAAAGCUACCCUGGGGAUAACAGGCUUAUCUCCCCCAAGAGUCCACAUCGACGGGGAGGUUUGGCACCUCGAUGUCGGCUCAUCACAUCCUGGGGCUGUAGUAGGUCCCAAGGGUUGGGCUGUUCGCCCAUUAAAGUGGUACGCGAGCUGGGUUCAGAACGUCGUGAGACAGUUCGGUCCCUAUCCGUCGCAGGCGUAGGAAAUUUGAGAAGACCUGUCCUUAGUACGAGAGGACCGGGAUGGACGUACCUCUGGUGUACCAGUUGUUCUGCCAAGGGCAUGGCUGGGUAGCUAUGUACGGAAUGGAUAAGCGCUGAAAGCAUCUAAGCGCGAAGCCAACUUCAAGAUAAGAUUUCCCACCGCAAGGGUAAGACCCCAGAAAGACUAUCUGGUUGAUAGGUCGAAGGUGUAAGUGCAGCAAUGUAUUUAGCUUAUCGAUACUAAUAGGUCGAGGACUUGACCAA
rnacentral:rRNA from 1 species